rnacentral:snoRNA from 1 species
CCUACCCCUAAAGAUGUUACAGGUAUGGCUGCUAUGCCACAUGUGUGUCAGGAGGUGGUAGAGAGGCUAUGUCUAUCCUCACUGUUCUGUUCAUUGAACAUCUGAAUGAUUAGUAGCCUAACGAU